rnacentral:rRNA from 1 species
ACUUAAAUUGAAGAGUUUGAUCAUGGCUCAGAUUGAACGCUGGCGGCAGGCCUAACACAUGCAAGUCGAGCGGUAGCACAGAGAGCUUGCUCUCGGGUGACGAGCGGCGGACGGGUGAGUAAUGUCUGGGAAACUGCCUGAUGGAGGGGGAUAACUACUGGAAACGGUAGCUAAUACCGCAUAAUGUCGCAAGACCAAAGUGGGGGACCUUCGGGCCUCAUGCCAUCAGAUGUGCCCAGAUGGGAUUAGCUGGUAGGUGGGGUAACGGCUCACCUAGGCGACGAUCCCUAGCUGGUCUGAGAGGAUGACCAGCCACACUGGAACUGAGACACGG